rnacentral:lncRNA from 1 species
GACUGGCCUGAGUACCACAGCAUUUGUGUAAGAGGAAAGAGACGAUGGAAGGGAGUGGGGGCAUCUCAGCUCCGAUUCCCAAGUGGUUCAGGGAGCAGAAUGGAAGGUCCGUGUGCCACUCAGCUGCUAAUGCAGUGACACCUAUGGCUCACGGUGGGCAAGUCCCCUCUGACCCUUCAGGUCUCAACUCCUGGAGGAUGAAGAGGAUGGGAGGGGAUUUUUUCCUGGAGCUGGGUAGGGGGGAAGAGUAGGGAGUUAAGGAAAAGUCCCACUGAUAUGUGGCCACACUUCAUUUUUCAGGUCCCAGAGGUGAGGAAGAAGUUCACUCCUAACCCCUCCGCCAUCUUUCAGGCCUCAGCUCCCCGGAUUCUCAACGUGUGACUGCCUGCACCGUGACACCAUGGCUGCCGACAGGACAGGGCUGGGGAACGGCCUCAGGACCCACUGCCGCGGGGCUGGGCGAGAGCAUGGCAUGGGCCCCUGCGGGAGGGCACAGCCCCUCUCAAAGCUGUCACCAGGGCCGAAGUGCUGGUGUGGGGCAGAUGCACCGAUGAGGAUCAAGUCAGUUGGGAACCGAAUUGGUCCAUGGAAGCUGAGGAAUGUGGACACAUCCGGCCCUUGAAAGA